AUUGAACGCUGGCGGCAGGCCUAACACAUGCAAGUCGAGCGAGCGGCGGACGGGUGAGUAAUGUAUGGGGACUGCCCGAUAGAGGGGGAUAACUACUGGACACGGUAGCUAAUACCGCAUACUAUCGGAUAACCCAUAUGGGAUUAGCUAGUAGGUGAGGUAAUGGCUCACCUAGGCGACGAUCCCUAGCUGGUCUGAGAGGAUGAUCAGCCACUCUGGUACUGAGACACGGCCCAGACGCCUACGGAGUCAGCCGUGGGGAGUAGUGCACAAUGGGCGAAAGCCUACUGCAGCCAUGCCGCGUGUAUGAAGAAGGCCCUAGAGUUUUAAAGUACUUUCAUUCGGGAGGCGUUACCGACAGAAGAAGCACCGGCUAACUCCGUGUCAGCCGCCGCGGUAAUAC
rnacentral:rRNA from 1 species